GGAGGCGUCCACCUGGCUUUAGACUAUUAAAGCCCUUUUUGGAGGUAUUACAACUUUACAACGGCUAGUUCUUACAGACCCACAAGGGCCGAAUGGCUCAAAAGAGCAAAAAACGAAGCGAUACAAGCUGGGGGUUGCCAGCAACAACAAAAAACUUGAAGACCGCGAAGGCCACCCUCUGGUGCUUCAUGGAACAACCGAGGUUUGUUGGAGCUUCACCAUGUGUCCAAAGGCCUGUCACGAGCUGCUCAAGUGUCAAUGAGUCCUAGUUCCCGCACAUUAAUCUCCAGAGCUGCAAGAAGAUAGUCAUUUUGUAUAAUCCGUCAGCCGGGUGCUUAAUAAAGACCCCUCAUAUAAGAGAUUUGUUCCUAAUAUGCCACAAUGGACAAGCAAGAGCGAGAAACGAAACCCAGGAUAUGCGGCGAGCCUUUCCAAACAACCCAUGAGAGAGGGCAAGGAAAUCGAGAAGAAAAUAAUGUCGUUGUCCUCGGGGUGACCACAUAGCCGAACAUGUCAUCCUCGACAUCGUAUCACUUAUGUACUUGAUAUCCACUAGGCAAGCGAUCUCUAGCUAGUUGUCGAAGGAAGAGCUGACUUCGGUUGUGAACUUUGCUUUUCGAAGAACUCCUAGCUCAAAGAUACCGACUCCUUGGAGGAGUGCCCACUAGACGGAGUGGUGGUUAACUCACUUGAUUUUUACCAAGGUCAAAAUAGCGGUGUCCUCGCAAUCGAAGAUAUUUUGAUUGGCAUGCAGGUGGCUCGUCUCCAUCCAUAGUACCAAGUCUUCUGCCCAAAUGUCCUAUCGAACCGCGGCCACUUCUGGCUGAAAGGAUCGAUGUGGUUGACUAGAGGGGGGGGGUGAAUAGGCAACUACCAAUUUUUAGCUUUUCUUAACAAAUUAGGUUUAGCAAAAAAUAGGUUGUCUAGAUGUGCAACUAGGUGAACAACCUAUAGGAUGCAUCCAACAACAACAACAAGUGCAAGCAAAGGAUACAACACAAUAAUAGCUUGCACAAAGUAAAGGUAAGAGAUAACCACAAGUGGAGUCGGAGAAGAUGAGGAUGUGUUACCGAAGUUCCUUCCCUUUGAGGGGAAGUACGUCCACGUUGGAGCGGCGUGGAGGCACAAUGCUCCCCAAGAAGCCACUAGGGCCACCGUAUUCUCCUCACGCCCUCACACAAUGCGAGAUGUCGUGAUUCCACUAGUGGUGCCCUUGAAGACGGCAACCGAACCUUUACAAACAAGGUUGGGGCUCUCUCCACAACCAAAUUGGAGGCUCCCAACGAAACCAUGGAGCUUCACCACAAUGAAAUAUGGCUCCAAGGUGACCUCAACCGUCUAGGGUGCUCAAACACCCAAGAGUAACAAAAUCCACACAAGAAAGUAUGGGGGAAUCAAAUAUCUGGUGGAAGUGUAGAUCUAGGUCUCCUCCUUCAAUCCCUAGCAAAUCAACAAGUCUGAGUGGCUAGAGAGAGAGAUCGGGCAAGAAAGCUUGAAGGGCAUUAAUGGUGGAGAGAGAGAGGCAAGAGGUAAGGGGGUAGGUGGAAGAAACCCCCUUAUAUAGGAAACCCUAAGAUCCAACCGUUACAACGGUUUUUAUACUGCAGCGGUACAACCACUCCUCUCCCCGGUACAACCGGGAAUCAUGGGUAAGCUGCUGAAACCCUAACAAGCAGUACAACCGAUGCUAGAGUAGCAGUACCGGUUAUUAGGAAUAAUCGGACCAACCGCUUCCCUAUCGCUCACCCACCGCCUUGAAACCAGAAGGGGGUCACCCUAUGGGCGGUGGUCGAGCAGUAGUGCUCCGGAACUACCGCCUGCUCCUAGUGCUAGGGGUGGCUAAGUCCCAAGCGGUAGAACCGCUUAGGACACUCGGUAGUACCAGUAUGCAGAGCACAACCGAGACAACCAGGCCACCACCGCCCAAGUACCGCCCUAUCACAGAAGCGAGUCCGGUGGUCGGGCAGUAGCCGGCCGAUACAACCGCCCAAUGUACAACUCCAGAGUUCUUGGCAAGAACCUGGGAGAUGCAACCCCAGGGUAUCACCCCUGGGGCGGUGGUUGAGCCGGUACAACCGCCCUAGUGGGCGGUACAACCGCUGAGGAGAAACCACUGCACCAGAAAGAACCAAAAGGGACCUCUCUCUACAUGGAACGGAAGGUAAUGAUGGGUGACGAGAAGAGUGUACGUGCAAUGAUUCACCCCAUGCCUUCCAAUGGAUUCCUUCUUGAUAGUAUUGGUUUCCUACGACCAAGGAAAUAGACACGCAGAAAACUCUGUCUUCGAUCUUUUCCUUCCAUAGAGAAUGUCUAAUCGAUGCGUACCUGAGCAUAGAGAACCUGAAGAACUUAACACAUGAUUAGACCAUAAGGAGAGCUGUCAUCAUCACCCAAAACACAAAGACGGGAAAUGUCCUAACACUGGCCCACGCUCCAGGCAUCUUUAACCAUCAAACAUUGAUCGUCCCGCAAUCUCUAAGAGGCGGGGAAAGGAAUUGCAAAGCGGUCCCAUCCCCGCCCAGUGUAUAGCUAGAAGCAAGUGGCAUGGUCAGUUCCAAUUGAAUGUUUAGCACCCACCUAGAGGAGGCAUCGAACCAUUGAUAUAGACUUCCAUAAAUGCGAGACCCUAUGAUAUUUGGGAUGACAAGUUCCCUUGCAAGCUACUUCUUCCUAAAGAUUCUAGCCAUAGGCCCCUGCCUUUGAGGAUUUUCCACACCCACUUAGCUAAAAGGCACCAACUCAUGAGUUUGCUGUUGAUGAUGCCAAGUCCAGCACCUUCUUAGGGGAACACAAUGUGUUCCAUUAAAACAUGUGGUAAUUCUGCUUGCCCUAUUCCUUUCUGCCAAAUGAAUCUAGACCUAACUUUAUCAAAUUUCUCAUGGAUGGCAUCUUGAAGAAGGUAAGGCCCAUGGUGUACAUGGGAAGGCAAGAGAGACAUGCAUGGAUGUUGAUCCACUUUCCAUAGAAGGACAUGUGUUUUCCCUGCCAAGGUUCGACACGCUCCAUGACCCUAUCUGAAACACAAAGAUAUGUAAGGAAGUGAACCAAACUUGCAAUUCGGAUAAUGUGCAUGGAUCUGAACUGACCCUAAGUUAUACCCCCAUCACAGCCGUCUAGCUUUUCUCAAAGUUGGUGUUCACUCCUAGAUGGACCCAAAGCACAUGAGAUUCGUGAUGCCAACUGGGUCAUUCCUAAUGAGGAUGAGGGCAUCACUCGCAUAUUGGAACUGACCCUAAGUUGUACCCCCAUCAAAGCCGUCUAGCCUUUCUUGAAGUUGGUCUUCAGUCCCAGAUGGACUCAAAGCACAUGAGGUUGGUGAUGCCAACUGGAUCAUUCCUAAUGAGGACGAUGACAUCAUCCACAUAUUGGAGGCGGGCGGGUCAACCCUCCACUCCUCGAAUAUGACCUGCAGCCCUAGCUCCCUCAAGCAUGGCAGGCAAGGCAUGAACAAUUAGGUUGAAAGGACACACCUGGUGUUCCUAAAAAGGGGCCCUGGACCCCAUUGAUGUUGAUGGCCAUUUACCCCUCUAAACAACUGCAUGAUCCUACUAACUCAUUGGGGUCAAAGUUCUUAUGCAUCAUGCCAUCAUGUCCUUGGAAAAACCCUAGUUGAGCUGGCCCUUGGAAGCCUCCUCCUUGGAAGAAUGCACCUCACGCAACACUUCGUCAAGAACCACAAUCCAAUCGAGUAUGUUCCACCCUAGGAUGAAGGUCGACUGGUUGGGGUGGCUGAUCCUAUUGGUCACCGGAGAGAGCCGGCACGCAAAGCCCUUAGCAACAAGUUUGAACACUAUGUUAAUCAAUGCAAUUGGGCUAUAUUGGCAAAUGGUCUUUGUCCCUGCCACCUUAGGGAGCAAAAUUAACACCCCAAAGUUCAAAUGCUUUAUGUCAACCAAGUCACGAGUGAAGUCGUCGACUAGUUAAAGAAUUUGGCCCCACAAGCAGAUGCUUGAUGUUAAUCAAGCCAUGAAUGAAGUGCCCACUUGGUGGAUUCGGCCACCAGGCAUGGUCCAAAACAACCUAUAGAAGGCUACCAGGAAGCCAUUAGGCCUUGGGGAUCCGAUUGGGUAUCCCUAAGAGCUGCCUCAAAGUCCUAAGGGGGAAGGGUGUUGUUAGCACCACAUUCUCGACACCUUCAUGUUCUCCUUUGAGGCAAGGCAAAGACGGAAGCUCGUCCCUAUAGCCAACCAACUCAAGAUAGAAGUCAUAAAUAUGUUGCUACAAGGCAACACUAUCCAAAAUAGCCGAGUCUUCGUCAUGAAGGGAUAGAAUGUUACACCAUUGACUUCUCCCCUUGGCCACAACAUGAAAGUACUAGGUGUUCAACUCUCCCUUCAAGUUCAAUUGUUGGCGGCCCCUCUGCCUCCAGUACAACUGCUUGCAACUAGGAAUGAAGCUCAUUUCGUAUUUGAGGACGUAUAUUCUAGCCCACUAAAUGGGAGAAAAGCAGACCAGAUUUGCUCUAAGGUCCAAGACCUUGAUAUCAAUCGUUAAGGAAGCUUUCUUCCUCUUAUGAGAUCCACCCCAGUUGCCCCUAGCCCUUGAGGUAAUGUCAAAGUCUAGAAACACUAUGUUGUCAUUGGUCUAAUGCAUCACAAAGGGGACCGUAGCAGUGAGGAGGCCUGAUUGGGCCUUGAGCCACUUCUUUCUCACAAACUAUAGAAUCCUGCCUUUCUAGAACACGUGUCUCGAAAAAAUGGGCUCCGUGUUGGACGUGGUACUCACCUGUGUCCAGCAAAAGGGGCAAUGGUUAGAACCUAACCUCAACGUGACAAAAAGUGAGCACAUGUGGUACCUAGUGUCCCACUCAUUGAAGACAGGAACUACAUGAAGCAUGGAACCCACGCUAAAACUUCCGGAAUUGCUAGUAUGUUAUCCAAUCAUCGAACAAAUCAGCUAAGCCCCGAUUGAUGGGCUGUUGUUCUUGUUACUACUUCACUACAUGAGGUAAUAACUGGAAAGGGUGAGGCUUCAAUUUUACUAUGGAGCCGACCAUAAUGGUUCACCGAACCAUAAACCAGAAAUAAUUCCAACUUGAAGUGAUUGUCGCGCCGAGUCGGCUCCUUGCUGACAAAGAAUCCACCCUGACUAACAGUGCCAAUCUCGAAUGAGUCCUCGUCGGCACCCAAAAGGAGACCACAUGAGUGACCUAUCGCUGGAACCCAAGUCCACGAGAAAGCGCAAACCCGAGUUAACGCCACAUAACGCCACAUCAGAAAAGGAUUGCAUGACGGUCUCUCUAAUCCCAACAAAAUAAACCUUCUCAUGAUCAAUGAACUUUGCUAGCUAUCGCCUUAUCAAGCCGGGGAUAUGGUCCUCACCCUUGAGGUGGAACGACCACCUCUACCCCGACCAUGGCCCCCACAUGUCGUGGGUUUGCAUCUGGCCAUAGAAGUCGUAAACAAGGUAUGUUGUUUAGGUUUCUUAGCAUCCACCUCUGAUUUCAAACCCCGCCCAACCAUGGAUGACCCCUCUACAGCUUUGGUCUUUGCCUCAGUCAUGCAGGUGCGGAGCAGGGUACAUUUAGCCACACGCUCAACCAGGGGGGUUUGGACAAGUUCAUAUGCCCUCCUACUAGUGAUCCGAUCCAUAGGGGACCCCUUCUCCUACCUAAAUAUCACAUGGCUGUCCGCUACCACUUUCAGAAUGUAUGGAGUCUUAGUAAAAGUAAGAACUUUAAAUGAUCUAGACAUAAUUUUAGAAGAAAUACCUCGUAGGUUCUUGGAAUCCUUGAGGGACAUGACCCUCUCCAUGUUGGAGGUUGUGCGGGACAGCCUGACGCACUUGCAGGCCGCCAAGUGUGGUGAAGGAUUUGUAGUCACUUUCGAGAGCUAUAGUCUUGGUAAAAGCUAGAACUUUAAACAAAGACAUGGAGCUAGUGAUGGGUUUAGAAACACUGUCCCUUAGAUUCUUCAAAGCCUUUAGGGCAUUGGCCUCUUCAUAGAGGUUAUGUGGACAACCUUGCGCCCUUGUGAGCCGCCAAGGGUGGUGAAGGGACAACCGAGUGUGACGUUGAAGGGGGAGCAUCCAACAUCUCCUAAACAACGUCAACGGGCAUGAUGUUGUCAUAUUGCUUCGACGCCUUGCCGAGAUGGCUUGGCACAAUCUCAGAGGACUCUAGGGAGGGCACGCAAGAAUCCUUGCCCAAGGAUGAGUCAAAGGAUAAGUUAGAGCCGUAGUGCUCAAGACGAAGAAGUGUGAGUGUUGUGAUGUCCAAUAUAGCUGGUAACACACACGCACCCAAAUGUUUGGAGUCUUCGUUGUUGGACAUGACCAGUGUCAUCGACAUUGGACAAGUCAUCCCCUCCCCUGACACCUCCUCAGCAAGCUUGAGACGAAAAGCGCCAUCUUCGGAGAAAUUAGAUCUGUAUUGGUUCAGGCGAAGGGAGAUCGAUAAUGAAUAAAAGUAACAAUCCAUGUGUUUAUGGUAAUAAAAGUAGAAAAAAAUAUGACUGUUGUUUCAUAACUAUGCGCCAAACUUUAUUAUCUACAUGCCUAAUGUCCCAAGUUUUACAUGUUAUUCUUUUAUUUUUACCAAUGUUAUAACUUGUUUGUUGAAUAAUUUACACACUUCCAUCCCAAUUUUAAUGGAAAGUUCAGUAGAUGGUAGUGUGGUUUACAUCGAGUAUAUGUAUGAAAUGACCAGCCUUUGCUUUGUUUUAAAUUCUCAACUAGAACACCAUUUAGUCUGCACCUAUGACUCUUGUUGAUACUCUAAUAUGACCUCAUGGUGCAUAUCUUAUAGGUGUAGAACCUACCUAACCCUACAAGAGAUGAUAGUCCCGGUACAAUAGUGUGGUCGAUUGGGCAUCCCGACAGCCUCCCAAUUGGUAGAGAUGUUCAUGAUGGUUUGAUAUGAUACCCUCGCCCAUUACCUAUCACUAACGACAAUUAGCUCCCACGUUUGCAUAGACAUAGGGAGGGGCUAUCAUUGCUAUUAUGGUGAAAUCAAUACUUCACUCGUGACUUCUUAAGGAGAGGUGUGUACAUUUUUCUCUCUUGGACCACCUUCGUUGCCAUUGUACUAAAGUUUUCUCAUUUUUGAUAAUAACAUUAGAUUCUCCAAUGUCCCUAGUUUGAUCUUAUCUCCCACAUCCUUCAACUAUGUCGCAAAACCAACACUUCAUUUUUGCCUUCUGGAGGAGAUGCAUGUUCAUUUGUCUCCCCUGGACCAUAUUUGUGGUAAUUGUAAGAAAUUUUAUGGGUUUUGAUAAUAACAAAAGAUCCUUCUAUGUCCAUCUCGCAGUCAGAGCAUGGUCCUUCAAGCGGCUUCAUUCACAAGGGACUUCAGCCUAAAACUAGGUUAGAGCAAAUUCUCCUGGUGCACUCCCCAACCCGAGAAAGCAUUGAUCGAUUUUGGCAUGGUCUUUCAAGUGGUUUCUUGUUGGAGGGACUUCAACUUAAAAUCAAGGGUAGUGGAAGUUUCACGCCUUUGGGAUUGUAUUUGUUAGCUUCAUGCACUAGCCAACACAACAAGUCCGAAUUGAUGGGAAGGACUAGGCAAUCCACAUAUACACUUCAACACCCCCUCUCAAAUGUGACGCGAGAAGUCAACAUGUGAAUAGACUCAGAGGUAUGGCUCAAGAGGCCUAUAUGUGGACCAAACUCAACCAAAAGUGGGCAACACCAAUUUUUGAAUAAAUCACGAAAGCCACUACUUGCACUGAAGACCUUCGGCUCGGAUACCAUGUUAAGCUUCAUGCUAGUAUGGAAGUCUAAACUCGAUGAGAAGGGCUAGGCAAUCCACAUAUACACUUCAGUAGUAUUGACAUCAUGCAAUAUGGUCGAUGGGGCAAGCCAUCCCUAGAGUGUAUGGAAGUAGUUGUAGUGAAUGUACUUGCUGGAAGUGUAUUGUCUACUAAUCGCACACUUAGCCCCUUCUUUAGUGUUGUAAAUUAAAAUAGAGAAAUAUGUGUGGGGUUAUGAUGCCAAAUAGGAGGUAAAUUGGGACACUUGAGAUCCCACUUUAGUAUCAUCGCGGUACUUUAUAUAAUUCUUAUAUUUAAUAUCAUGUGGAAUCAGUUCAAAUCUUGGGUUCAGGCUCCUUAACUAGGUCCUCCAUUUAUUGGCGAAAGAAAAGGUAUGAAUAUUUGACAGCACAACCAUGACAAUGUGAUGGCUUGUUAACGUUGGCAUGCAGCAACUCAUGUCUCCUCUAUUUGUCACUGACCCAAUUUAUUAUUCAAUCCGCUUAGAAAGAUAUUGUUGCCUCCCUCGAGGACCUUGAUAAAUUGGUUUGCGUGAAGGAACCCAAGCAUACCUUGAUCCUAAGGCCUUGGCAUUAACUCUGAUGUAGUGCAGUUGGACAUCAAGGCACUGUCCGCGUGACCUCCAAUGAUAUUUUUUUGCCAAAAUAUAUUUUCUUGUUGGAUGAUAGACAUUUGGCUAGCAACUCCACUUUUACCUAGUUGCAAUAGUUGCUAGUCACACCUACAUAUCAUAAAGCCCAUUUUGCGCUUGGAAGCGGUUCUAUGUAGUCUAUCUUAUUGAACUUUUAAACUCCUAAAGUCAAAUACCAAGAUCACUUCAUAUCUUAUUCAUAUCUAUUUCCCAUACCAAAUGGUGAUAUGUGAUGAUGUAAGUUUUACCUUCAUAUUUCCAAAGCAAAAUGAAUAAGAAUAGAUAGUGUAUGGGAAAAUCGCCACCAUGAUAUUAUGUCUUGGGCUAAAUCCAAGUACUCGAGCUCAUUCACACAUUAGGCUAACACCACUAUCCAAAAAUUUAACCACACCAUUUUGUCAUACAAAACUUAUUAAAGAUAACUAGUUAUGAUAGAUAUCGUAAAACUUGAAUCAAUGUCACUACUUAUAAAUGUGCCACCUAGGAGUCCCAAAUCUCUAAGAGUAACAAGUUUGGUGAAAAAUAAGUACGGGGAUCACGAUUUGGUUUGGUGGAUGUCUAGAUCAGAUGGUUCUCUUUUAAUCCUCAAAGUUUGGUGGAGUUGAGUGGAGGAACCAAGAGGAAUCAAGCUUUUACGUUGUGACAUUAGUGGAGAAGCUCAAAGGAGGAUUAGGUCUAGAGGAGGAAGAAGGGUGGGCAUAGAUGCCCUUCACCCCAAUUCUAGUCAUUGCCUUCCAGCAUACCUCGGGGACCUGGGGUAACCCAAGAGAAAACCUGCACCCCGAGGACCCGACCCAUCAAGAGACUUUUGGCCAGGGGAAAAGGAGACCUCGUGGGACCCAGGGUAACCAGAGAGUUUUCCCUCCCCAGGCACCCGAGGGUCACAACAACAACAGGAAAUUGAGUAGUUUAAGUGUAGGUACUAGAGGUGACAAGUGUAUAUGAUAUUUGCAUGAUUCCCAAACUUACGCAAUCACCUCAUCCCCCUUUAAUAGUGUGGCUUUCUUAUCACUCAAAUAAAACCAAGAAAUGUCCGAAGAACUUGCACAAUCACCUUGACCCCCUUUAAUAGUGUGGCUCCUAUGACUGAAAUAAACCAAAAGACAUCUGGAAAAGGCCUUUUACUUUUUGAAAUGUGUGUGUGGGGGGAGGGGGGGGUCAACCAUCUCCAUCAUGAUUCACCGAGGGACCAAUGUCCUGGGAUAAACUUGAUAACCGACAUUAGUCCCACCAAUCAUACAGUCAUCAAUACCAAAACACAUUACGGUCUAGAUGCAUCGUGUCCUGGCAGUACUAAUAAUCAUCAGUAAUCCCAAUAGGAUGGUGCGUAGGACCAGAAGCAUGAGAGGGGAUUGCACACAGGGAGUUUACAUAGGUUCGGGCCCUCAUCACGAAGGUAAUACUCUACUCCUGCUUUGGAUUUGAUUAACGGGGGAAAACACCUCGUAUGAGGGGUUACAAUGUAUGUGGAGAUGAUGCUAUCGAGACUAUGGUAAUGAUAUUAGAUGCCUCGAACUAACCCCCGGCCUCACCUUAUAAAGGGGGAUGAGGCUUCGGGUUACAUGGUUUGCUAACCCACCUAGAGUUCAGACAAGGCAAGGAACUCCUUGACUUGCAUGCCAAGGUGAGAACCUUCCAAAAGGACGACUUCCUACGGACCGAGGAGCCGUAGGGCCGGCAAGGUUACCGACUUCCUAGUGGCUUGGCCACCCUCGAUAUCGUGCACUAUCAUGCCCCUCAAGGUUGGUGCAUUUUAUUAUCUUGUCCCUACAAAGGUCCCUUUGCACCCACUUGGUAGGAGGAUUGAGGUGAUGGUGGCAAGUAGAGUCCAUUGUGGUUGAGUAUGGUACCUUGGCUUACGACCUAUCUUUAGACUCGAACUAACUCUUCCCUUGUCCAAGACUUGAAAGAGAAUUUCAAUGCUCACUCAAACAUCGUCGCCACAAAAAGCUAAAGCCAAACACAUCCCCUAUCUAAGAGAAGGUGAGAGAAAAUGGAUCAGGGAACCCUAGAGUAUCUAGGGUUGCUAGUCUGGAAUGUCCGGGUGUGUUAGCCGAGGCAAAGUACAGACCUUUGUCAAGAGAGACUCUGUUUCAAAUUCAGAAUGUCGGAGUAUUUGGACUGCAUAAUGGCAGUGGUAAUAUCCAUUUUACUAAUCAUUGGAACAAGGUGCCUUGGACAUUUUGGCGCACAUGCGAGAGCAUCAGAAUAUAUCAAAAUUCUCGACUGGUUUUGAAGUUGAGCUAUAUAUAUACGGGGGACACUAUAACCCCUUGCACAUGGAACACUUUGGCAAAUUGAUUUGUUGUCUUCAGUGAGCUGUUGCCCACCUCUUUAAGCCCCCUUUAAGCUAACCCUAAGUUGCAAGAGAGUGGCUAUGGGAAGGGAGUGGGAUUAUUUGAGAUCUUAACCAAGCAGAGCAUCAAGUUUUCCACCAAGGAUUCGUUGCAUCUAUUUCUCUUAGGUUUGGGGACUACUGGAUGAUAGGAGUCACCCGUGAGCAGUCAACCUUGUGGAAUUGCUCUGCAUGUUGUGAAGGCAGAGCAUCGACUAAGAUCUACCCUUGGUGUUAGGGCUCAGAGUUCGUGGCUGAAGCUCAAGAGGAAGAAGGCUAGACCUUUGCGGUUGAGGUACUUGGCGUGCACGCCUCUCCACUAGAUUCGAACUCUAAGAAGUAUAUCAUCUUCUCUAUGUACUCUUAGCUAGUUACUCCCACACAAUCGUCAUGCUUGUUGUGUUUGCAUAGCUUGCUUGCGUGUUGGUAGUAGAUUUUCUAGGUUGCCUCUCGUCAUAUAGUUUCUUCUGCCUAGAUAUGCAUUAGUAAGCCUUACACUUCUGCAAAUUCCACUUUAGUGCUUUGAUUUUUUAGUUGCCUAUUUAGACAUCCUCUCUAGUUGCACAUUCGACCUUUUAGAGGUAAAUAUUAGUCCUACACUAGCAUAUCAUUUUGCUUUGUGAAAUAGUUGAACCCACCAAAAUUUGAAAUGAAAAUCGAAGAAUCUAAUAAACAUUGUUGAGAAGCUAUGGUUAACACCUGGUAUUAAAUAUUGCCAUCAUCAAAGUUAUUUAUUAGAUUCUAAGAUUCACUUACUCCCUCCUUCCAUCUAUAUAGGGCCUAAUGUGUUUUUCAAGACAACCUUUGACUAUUGACAAGAUUAAUAGCACAUGAGAUGUAUACUAUCAAAAUUAUAUUAUUGGAAGCUCCUUUGACAUACGAAUUUGAAGGUAUGCUUUGUGUAAGUUGCAUGUCAUAUAUUGUUACUCUAACGUUUGGUCAAAGUUAGCCUCGAAAAACGCAUUAGGCCCUAUAUAGAUGGAAGGAGGGAGUACCACAUUUCCCUCAAAAGAAAUGAUUCACUAACCACUAUAUGCCUUUUCCACUUUAUUUCAAACCAAGAAUGAUAAUUCAUACGGUCUCAAGAAAACAAACUUAAGAUGAUUUUUACAUCAUCUUGUGAGACAAUCUAAAGAAGAGAUGCCCAUUUUCAAGUAUUUCUUGAUCCAUAUAUGUACAUUGAGUCAUGCAAUAGAAUAGCAUUAAUAAGAUAUUUUUUUCAUAAAAAAUGUUGAAAAUAUAAUAGUUGAAGAGGUUUAAAUCCUUUUCAACCAACUACUAGACCUAAUUAGACAUGCCUAUCAUCCUUAAACUUUCUUGAACUCCUAAAGUCAAAUAGUUGGGAUCACUUUAUAUCUUAUUUAUAUCUAUUUCUCAUGCCAAGUAGUGAUAUGUGACGUUAUCCCAGCCCAGGGGUCUCUCACCACGUCAGUUCACGGCCUGGUGGGCCAGGUUGAGGACCCCUGGGUAGGUUCCGUCCUGUGCCGCAUUGGGCGGCCCAUGGAAAAUUCUGCGAAGACUCCGUAAGACUUAGAGUAAAAAAACAACAACAACAAAGCCUUUAGUCCCAAACAAGUUGGGGUAGGCUAGAGGUGAAACCCAUAAGAUUUCGCGACCAAACUCAUGGUUUUGGCACAUGGAUAGCAAACUUCCACGCACCCCUGUCCAUGGCUAGUUCUUUGGUGAUACUCCAACCCUUUAGAUCUCUCUUUACGGACCCCCCCCCUCCCAUGUCAAAUUCGGUCUACCCUGGCCUCUCUUGACAUUGUCCACACGCUUUAGCCAUCCGCUAUGCACUGGAGCUUCUGGAGGCCUGUGUUGAAUAUGCCCAAACCAUCUCAGACAAUGUUGGACAAGCUUCUCUUCAAUUGGUGCUACCCCAACUGUAUCUCGUAUAUCAUCAUUUCAGACUCCGUCCUCCCUCAUGUGGCCACAUAUCCAUCUCAACACGCGCAUCUCCGCCACACCUAACUGUUGAACAUGUCGCCUUUUAGUCGGUCAACACUCAGCGCCAUACAACGUUGCGGGGCGAACCGCCGUCCUAUAGAACUUACCUUUUAGCUUUUGUAGCACUCUCUUGUCACACAGAAUGCCAGAAGUUUGGCGCCACUUUAUCCAUCCGGCUUUGAUUCGAUGGUUCACAUCUUCAUCAAUAACCCCAUCCUCUUGCAACAUUGACCCCAAAUAUCAAAAUGUGUCCUUCUAAGGCAUCAACCACCCAUCAAGGCUAACCUCCUCCUCCUCGCGCCUAGUAGUACUGAAACUGCACCUCAUGUACUAGGCUUUAGUUCUACUAAGCCUAAAACCUUUCGAUUCCAAGGUUUGUCUCCAUAACUCUUAACUUCCUAUUAACCCCCGUCCGACUAUCGUCAACUAGCACCGCAUCAUCCGCAAAAAGCAUACACCAUGACAUAUCUCCUUGUAUAUCCGUUGUGAUCUAAUCCAUCACCAAAGCAAAAAGAUAAGGGCUCAAAGCUGACCCCUGAUGCAGUCCUGUCUUAAUCGGGAAGUCAUCAGUGUUGACAUCACUUGUUCGAACACUUGUCACAAUGUUAUAGUACAUGUCCUUGAUGAGGGUAAUGUACUUUGUUGGGACUUUGUGUUUCUCCAAGGCCCACCACAUGACAUUCCGCAGUAUCUUAUCAUAGGCCUUCUCCAAGUCCAUGAACACCAUAUGUAGGUCCUUCUUUUGCUCCAUGUAUCUCUUCCUAAGUUGUCAUACCAAGAAAAUGGCUUCCAAGACUUGGAGUACAAUCCGAAAAUACCGGAGCCAUGGAGGAUUCUACCUUUACCGACGUAGCCGACUAGGAUUUGUAACCCUAGGACCCCCGGUAUGCUAUAUAAGCCGGGGGCCGGUCUCGUCGGUAGGACAACAUACAAACCUGGGUAAAUCUUUGCUUCUGUUACCAUCGUGCCAAGUUACCUAGCUAGGGUACCCUUCCGAGGGAUCUGCCGGAUCUAGCUCCGACAAUAUGUGAUGAUGGACAUUUUACCUUUGUAUUUCCAAAGGCAAAAUGAACAAGAAGAAUAGACAAGUGUAUGGGAAAAUUGCCACUACGCCAUUAUGUAUUUGGGACCUGUAAAACUUGAAUCAAUGUGACUACUUCUAAAGGUACCGACUCGCAUGGUCAACUUGUUAUAUUUGACAUUUGACCGUCUUUGCCCAUAUAUAAGCCACAAAUUAAUGGCUUAUGGGCUAGCUAGCCUAGAAACAGAGACUUUACUGAAUUAUGGGAUCACAUCCAGUCAAAUGUUUUUUAUGGGAACACUAUCUUUUUCAAGUUGUGUGACUUAAGGUCAAUAACACCAAAUUGUAGAUUAAAGAUUAACAAUAUGAAAAGUGUUUUCAUACCACAGGGUUUGUGCUUUCAUCAUCCAAAAACUUGCUACAUGAUAAGAUUUUUUUAAUAUGCUCUCAAAAUUUGCUGUCAGUAUAAGAUUCAUUUUCUUCAAAGUCUCUCAACCACUCUGGUCCAACAACAUCUCCAUUAACAUAUGAAGGUACAAAGUAUAUAUUCUUUGGACAGAUAAAGGUAACAUUUUUAACCAGUAUAGAGGUCAUAACCAAACUAUAAGAAAAAAAUACACGAGCUCUACUUUUCGGGUUUUCCUCUUUUUUAUUUUUUUUGGAAAAUGCCGGCAAAUCCUUAAACUUGAAAGUAUAGUGAUUUUUCAAAUUUUAAUUUACAAUAAUCUCUAAUGCCAAAGUUUUGUUUCCAGCAUUGAAGGUACAUAUGACCGGUAUCAGCAAUUUGCGGUGCCCGGAAGGAACUUGAUUCAAGAAGAUGCAACUGUCAGCAACGUAAAACAAUUUACAUCACUUUUUAUCAAUGCAUACCUUGCAGCCUGUGUAAUUAUGGAACCUGUAGGAGUGUAGCAGAAAGGUUUUGAUACUGCAGUUGCAUUCCUCAGUUUAUAAUCCUUUAGUUGCAUUAGAAACACACUAUGCAUGAUGUUAAUGCCUGUAAUCAAGAAUUGUGUAGCUAAUGCAGCACAUUUGAUGCUAUAUGGGUAACAUUCUGUAAAUGUAGCUACUCUUUUAUCUGACCGAACUAUCUAUGUACUAAGACUAGGUAGUAGUGGUAAGUACCUAUUUCGUAUCCUACAUGGCCGAAUUGUAUGACAGCAUCUAUACCCAUAUACCUCUUUGACAAGAUACUUUUGUUCUGUACUAGGAUGAAGAUCCUUCAAAUAUGCAGUCAAGGCUUAGCGAGAUUGCUGCCUGGUAGCCCUUGAGACUUCUCACAAUGUUUCCCAGUUCGUCAUUUAUUGUGUUCGACAUUUAGCUGAUUAUUAUUGAACUGCAGGUCUCUCGAUAAUAAUGCUGACAAUUCAGAUGCCAGUAGUUUGGAGAAACUGGAGAAACUACUAAAGGAUGCUCUGAGAAUUACAGAAUCUAAGAAGGUUAACUUUCGUUUCUUUUUCUGUAGUCAAGCUAUGUAUUGAUGAGAUUCCAGUUUCUGGGUCGUGAUUGACAGAAGUUGCUGAAAAAUUGCGGUGCUUUCUCUCAUAAUUUCACCCGAUUAAGCUUAAGAUUACUCCAAAAAUGUAGCACACACUUAGAAUUAUAUUACUUUCAGCAGUCCCAAGCUGGGUGCUCAACUAAACGUAAUUAAUCUCCGUUCCUCAAGCAAAAAAUAUGUUUUUCUCCUCCUGAACUGAUACUGCAAGUAUCCAUUGAUGAGGUGUAAGAGUUCUCAUUUGAUUAUAUGUUCUUAAGCAGAACGAAGAAAAUCACUCAAUAAAAUACCCAUCUUAAGACAAUGAGCCUGAAUGUUUCCUAUAUAUUGGUAGAUAAUAGGUCAACAAAAAUAAAUUCAGGUGGCCACUUGUGGUGGUUGGCUUGGUAGUUUCAGGAUAAUUCAUGAGCACUUAACUAUUAGCAGAUUUACUAAAUUAAGCAUAGAUGACGCAGCCUUGUGUGUGCAGAGGUAUAUACUUGUGGAUAUUGUCCAAGUAAUGGACAAGCAUAUGCAUGGAGAAAUCUAACCUCAGUUCUGAAAAUUGUGGACCUUCCAGCAAAUGCCUUGUGAGACAAGAUAAUAGACGUUAGCAUAUUUUCUGGCUAUAUUAGAAUUAAGCUUAUUCAGAUUUUUUUUUGCGGGGAGAGCUUAUUCAGAAGUACUAGUUCAGUAUGUCAGCAAGUGCACUUAUUCAUAGCAUUAAUAUUCCUAGUAACACAAUGGGGACGAAGUGGCAACCGUCGAUUUCUGUUGUAAACAACAACCAAAAUGUGCCACUCAUUACAGUAGAGCCUGUCAGUUAAUUGCCUGCAAACAGGAUUUUUGCUGGUACUCUGAUUCCCUCAACAUAAUCCCCAGAGUACGUUUAUCUAAUUUGAGUUUUGCUCUGUUGUUGCUGGAGUGCAGACUUUGGUGAAACAAAAUAGUGGCGGGAGCACGAGCGGAGAGAGCUCCUACGGACCUACGGGGCAGGAGAAUGGGAGGAAGGCUUGAGCAGAGCAAAGUUCCCCUGUGCUGUGUAUGCAUUUGGUACUAUGUUGCUUCCCCCAACACACUGUUCCCCAGUUAGGCUGUUAAUGGGCAAGAAUUAGUUGCCAGGGCUGCUACUUGUAAGUUGUAAGGGAGGAAAUUUUAGCGAAAGCGUGGCUUAAUAAUACUAAUAAUAAUACAGUGUCCGUGCUAUAAAGAGACCCCGUUGUACCUAGGACUGUGUGAGUUGGCUAAUCUAAUUACGUAUGCUUGUUCCUGGAGUAACUGUUGUUUUGAUGUUGUGCCGAUGCUCAUCUCUUAUGAUCUGCAGCUGAAUGGCAAACUUUGGUGGGUUCAGAAGGGUCCCUCUGAAACUAAAUAUGGCUGUUAUCGAGUGGCAUGCUGCUGUAUCUAGCAAGAGUUCGCGAGCCUGACCUGACACGCAUUUUUUGGAACCUCACUUGGCUGCUUGCAUUUUUUGGAGAAAAAUGAAAGCUGGGGUGUGGUUAUCCCUUCUGUUAUUUGGACUGAGCAGGGCUUGCUAGUCGGGCCGUGCACCUCUGUUUUAUUUAUUUUUGAUAAGUGAGUGAAGAGAUGCCAUGUAUCGCAGCUUGUUUAGUGAUUCAGCUGACAUCUAGACUAGCACUCUGAAGACCAUGGGGUAACAGAGUUCAGUUUUUCAGGUAAAUAAUCUUGACAUUUUUCUGAGGGUGUUACAGAAGCUAAUCAGUAGUGCUAGAUCGCAUCAUGACAGAACGUGAGUAAAACGGUAAAAUCUGGACGCAUGUGUUAAGUAGGUUUACNNNNNNNNNNNNNNNNNNNNNNNNNNNNNNNNNNNNNNNNNNNNNNNNNNNNNNNNNNNNNNNNNNNNNNNNNNNNNNNNNNNNNNNNNNNNNNNNNNNNNNNNNNNNNNNNNNNNNNNNNNNNNNNNNNNNNNNNNNNNNNNNNNNNNNNNNNNNNNNNNNNNNNNNNNNNNNNNNNNNNNNNNNNNNNNNNNNNNNNNNNNNNNNNNNNNNNNNNNNNNNNNNNNNNNNNNNNNNNNNNNNNNNNNNNNNNNNNNNNNNNNNNNNNNNNNNNNNNNNNNNUACCACUGAGCCUGUGACAUCAGGAACCUAGCUUGGUGCCGCGCUUACAACACGUUUCGGCAAGUCUUCAUUGCGAUUCUUCUUCCUGAAACACAAUCAGGCAAGAUAAACAUGGAUGAAUGUGAGUUGGAUUGGCUCUAGGUUUGGAUCUAAGCACACACACACACACACACACACACACACACACACACACAGAGAGAGAGAGAGAGAGAGAGAGAGAGAGAGAGAGAGAGAAGGCGACGGCCGCAACACACCUGAUCAAUCUGCCUGCGGACGAACGGAGCGCGCAUCAAUGUUAAGAGCAUCGGUCACCCACGGCAAUGGCGGCACGCUCGCGACGCCGAGUCUCGGCCGCCUCCUCGGAUCAAAGCUAGUCCGAGAGGGCGCGCGCCUCCAUCCUGGUUCCUUGAUCUUAGCCUCGCGCGCAAGCCGAGUGCAACGCAUGCACGCCCUCGUCCUCGCCCAAACAGGUUCAUCGCGCCAAAAUACCCCGCUAGCUCUAAUCAUGCAAGUAUGAUUAAGCCAAGUAUGAUUAAUCGCUGCAUCGUGGAGCGUGGCGUGGUAAAUUUCAGUAGCUCAGUGUUGUCCGUGAACAGAUCUCAUAAUUCUUCUUCUGUUUCUCGUUUCGUGAGGGAAUCAAGCGAAACCCCGGCCGCUAGCUCGCUCCGCACCACACGCGCGCGCGCACGGAAUUAGCGAGAACACGGCCAAGACAACAAAGAGAGCACAAAUCUCAACACACGCACCCACUGAUCUCAGGCCGACGCCUAGCUAAGUUGGACACUUAACAGAGCACGAAACCUGAACUUGUUGGCAAGAGAACACACACACACACAUUCUACAAAGUUUCCAAAAUGGGGAAAGAGAAAGACCAGACAGAAUUUGUUGGCGAGGAAACGGCAAGAAACCAAACCCCAGCUCCCGUCCACUGACCUGCACUGCAUGGCCGCGGACGAACAGGGCCAAGUUGGCUACUCACCCGGCCGGCGAGCUACCUCCCCCCGUUUAUAGGACCCAGCCGGUGCUCGGGGCGCCUACACGUG
rnacentral:lncRNA from 1 species